rnacentral:lncRNA from 1 species
UUGUAAAACCACCUCUGAUUGGUCCGAUCCAAAGGCGGAGAUAACAAGCCUGAGAGGGUUUGAACCAGGAAAGCUGCCUCAUUCUACAGAAAGACGGGCAAAGGGUUAAACCAAAAAAGCUACCUCGUUUUACAAAAAGACUGCAAAGGGUCUAAACCAAAAAAGUUGCCUCGUUUUACAAAAAGACUGCAAAGAUAUUGAUGACAGUAAAGAUGUGGAUCUGCCUCGCCUAUGCAAAAUAAUUGCAUUCCAUCUAAAAUCAACUCUUCAAAGGUUCAAGGACUAUUUCCCAUCAGACUCUGAUCCACAAAAAGGAAAACAAUGGGUUCAUGAUCCAUACUCCUCUCUAGAAACUGAGACCUCUUUGUCACUAUCACUGGAGGACAAGUUGCUGGAAAUGUCAAGUCAUGAGGGUCUGAAGUUACACUUUUAUUAAGUGACUCUAUCUGUUUUCUGGAUCAAAAUCAGGAGUGAAUACUCACAACUCAAUGAACAAGAUGUCAAAAUUUUGCUCAUGUUCCAUUCCACAUAUCUCUGCAAAACUGGAUUUUCAGUGAUGACUGCAACAAAAACAAAAUACAGCAACUGGCUGAGCAGUGGAAAGAUGCUCCAAGUGUCCUUGUCAAACAUUCAUCCCCGGAUUGAAAGAUUUGUGUCUUCAAGACAGGUAUAAACAUCUUGUUAUCAGUAUGGUGAGUGAAUCCAUCUGAUUGUUUAUUAUUAUUUUUUAAAACUAAAUCAAUUGAAUUAUCUCUAAUGUACAAAAUGAGGUAUACAGUUAUAGACAAAAUUAUUGGUAACCUGAUUUUUAAACAUUGUUUCAAAUGAAGGGUAACAUUUUUCAUAUCACAUAACUAGAUGAACUGUUGGUAAGCAAGUAAGAAGUAUCUUACAUGCAGAUAGUACAAAAAGGCAACUCCUGGCAAUACUGAAAAAACAGCAAUAAACACCAGUGAAACACUGUUUGCUUUUUGUUU